CGGAGGGGCUAGCGUUGUUCGGAAUUACUGGGCGUAAAGCGCACGUAGGCGGACCAGAAAGUUGGGGUGAAAGUCCCGGGGCUCAACCUCGGAACUGCCUUCAAACUAUUGGUCUUGAGUUCGAGAGAGGUGAGUGGAAUUCCGAGUGUAGAGGUGAAAUUCGUAGAUAUUCGGAGGAACACCAGUGGCGAAGGCGGCUCACUGGCUCGAUACUGACGCUGAGGUGCGAAAGCGUGGGGAGCAAACAGGAUU
rnacentral:rRNA from 1 species